rnacentral:tRNA from 1 species
GCCGAGGUAGCUCAGUUGGCAGAGCGGCGGUAUCGUAAACCGCAGGUCGUGGGUUCGAUCCCCACUCUCGGCUCCC